CCCUGGGUGGUAUAAAUAGUUAAUGCACUCAGCUGCUAGCUGAAAGGUGGAGGUUCAAGUCCACCCAGAGGGG
rnacentral:tRNA from 1 species